rnacentral:rRNA from 1 species
AGAAUCUUCCGCAAUGGACGAAAGUCUGACGGAGCGACGCCGCGUGGUUGAUGAAGUCCUUAGGGACGUAAAAACCUUUUAUGGAGGAGAAAGUUUAUUGAUGUUACUCCAUGAAUAAGGGGCUCCCAAUUCUGUGCCAGCAGGAGCGGUAAUACAGAAGCCCCAAGCAUUACCCGGAAUCACUGGGCGUAAAGGGUGCGUAGGCGGCUAUAUUAGUCGGGUGUUAAAUCCUGGGGCUCAACCUCAGAAUCGCAUUCGAAACGGUAUAGCUAGGAGAAGUGAGAGGUGUGCGGAACUCAAGGUGUAGGGGUGAAAUCCGUUGAUAUCUUGGGGAACACCAAAUGCGAAGGCAGCACACUGGCACUCUCUCGACGCUGAGUCACGAAAGCGUGGGUAGCG